CCAAUAGCGUAUAUUAAAGUUGUUGCAGUUAAAAAGCUCGUAGUUGAAUUUCGGGGUUCUUCCGUUGGUCAGGCUAACAAGUCUGUACUAGCGUGUAGAAUCUCUACCUUCUGGGGAACCAUCAUGUUAUUAAUUUAGCGUGGUGGGAAACCAGGACCUUUACCUUGAAAAAAUGAGAGUGUUCAAAGCAGGCUUACGUCUGAAUACAUUAGCAUGGAAUAAUAAAAUAGGACGGUGGUCCUGUUUUGUUGGUUUCUGAAUCACCGUAAUGAUUAAUAGGGAUAGUUGGGGGCAUUAGUAUUCAAUUGUCAGAGGUGAAAUUCUUGGAUUUAUUGAAGACUAACUUCUGCGAAAGCAUUUGCCAAGAAUGUUUUCAUUAAUCAAGAACGAAAGUUAGAGGUUCGAAGGCGAUCAGAUACCGCCCUAGUUCUAACCAUAAACGAUGCCGACCGGCGAUCCGCUGUCGUUACUUGAAUGACUCAGCGGGCAGCCUCCG
rnacentral:misc_RNA from 1 species